UCUAUCAGCCAGGCUAUCGCUUUAAUUUAGUUUAAAGAGGAAAGUCCGGACAGCAAAGGGCAACACACCGGUUAAGCGCCGGCUGCCUGUUGUAUUUUACUUGUAAGGUGCAAUGGGCAAGAGAAAGUGCCACAGAAAAUAACUGUCUUUUUUUAUUAAAAGAUGAGGGUGAAAAUGUGAGGUAAGAGCUCACGGGCUUGUGCAGUAAUGCAGGAGCCGGGUAAACCUUGUGUGCUGUAAUGCCAUGUACACCUGCGCCUGAAGGCGGCUCGCUUGAUACUUGAAAAAAGUAGCGUAGGAGGGUAGGCAGCAAGACCUUGCCAGUAAUGGCAGGGCUAGAUAAAUGAUGGCCAUCUUAAUUAAUUUUAAGAUAACAGGAUCCGGCUUAUUGGCGAUAGUCUUU
rnacentral:RNase_P_RNA from 1 species